rnacentral:rRNA from 1 species
CCUGGCUCAGGACGAACGCUGGCGGCGUGCCUAAUACAUGCAAGUCGAGCGGAUUGUUCCUUCGGGAACAGUUAGCGGCGGACGGGUGAGUAACACGUAGGCAACCUGCCUACAGGAUCGGGAUAACUACCGGAAACGGUAGCUAAGACCGGAUACAAGACUUUGACGCAUGUCGGAGUUUGGGAACACGGAGCAAUCUGUGACCUGUAGAUGGGCCUGCGGCGCAUUAGCUAGUUGGUGAGGUAACGGCUCACCAAGGCGACGAUGCGUAGCCGACCUGAGAGGGUGAGCGGCCACACUGGGACUGAGACACGGCCCAGACUCCUACGGGAGGCAGCAGUAGGGAAUCUUCCGCAAUGGACGCAAGUCUGACGGAGCAACGCCGCGUGAGUGAUGAAGGUUUUCGGAUCGUAAAGCUCUGUUGCCAGGGAAGAAAGGCCAGGAGAGUAACUGCUCUUGGAUUGACGGUACCUGAGAAGAAAGCCCCGGCUAACUACGUGCCAGCAGCCGCGGUAAUACGUAGGGGGCAAGCGUUGUCCGGAAUUAUUGGGCGUAAAGCGCGCGCAGGCGGUCAUUUAAGUUUGGUGUUUAAUUCCGGGGCUCAACCCCGGGUCGCAUCGAAAACUGGGUGACUGGAGUGCGGGAGAGGAAAGUGGAAUUCCACGUGUAGCGGUGAAAUGCGUAGAGAUGUGGAGGAACACCAGUGGCGAAAGCGACUUUCUGGACCGUAACUGACGCUGAGGCGCGAAAGCGUGGGG